rnacentral:rRNA from 1 species
CAGCCGCCGCGGUAAUACCGGCGGCCCGAGUGGCGGCCACUAUUAUUGGGCUUAAAGCGUCCGUAGCCGGGUUGGUUAGUCUCCCGGGAAAUCUGGCCGCUUAACGGUCAGUAUUCCGGGAGAUACUGCCAGCCUAGGGACCGGGAGAGGCCGAGGGUAUUCCCGGAGUAGGGGUGAAAUCCUAUAAUCCCGAGAGGACCACCUGUGGCGAAGGCGCUCGGCUGGAACGGGUCCGACGGGGAGGGACGAAGGCCAGGGGAGCAAACCGGAUUAGAUACCCGGGUAGUCCUGGCUGUAAACGAUGCGGACUUUGUGUCGGACAAGCUAUGAGCUUGUCCGGUGCCGGAGGGAAACCGUUAAGUCCGCCGCCUGGGGAGUACGGCCGCAAGGCUGAAACUUAAAGGAAUUGGCGGG